UGCACCUUAUUUGCUAUAGCUAAGGGCAGGAUAAAUAAAGUAGACUUCACUCCACCCCUCCUUCCCUUCCGCAGGCCUCCGAGCACCAGGGCUCCCACUGGCUACAUCAUCCGGUAAGCGACCACAGGACCCUGCCAGCUUUCCUGUGUCCCCUCGCACCACCCCCUGACUUCUUACCCUCCAGCUUCUCCAGGGAGCUCAGCAGCAUCUCCUGUGCUCUCUUUUAGGGGAGUGUUCACCAAGCCCAUAGACAGCUCUUCCCAGCCCCAGCAGCAGUUCCCCAAGGCCAAUGGGACUACGAAAAGUGCUGCCAGUCUGGUGAGAACAGCUAACACUGGUCCUCCACGCCCUUCCUCGUCUGGCUACAAGAUGACCACUGAGGAUUACAAGAAGCUAGCACCCUACAAUGUCAGGCGCAGCUCUACAUCAGGGGACACCGAGGAAGAGGAGGAGGUGCCUUUCUCGUCAGGUGAACAGAAACGGAGGUCACAGGCUGUGAGCAGUGUUGUGAGGAGGACAGCUCCCCGGGAGCACUCCUACGUGCUGUCAGCGGCCAAGAAGAGCACGGGGUGAGUUGCCGCCAGCUCCAAGCUCAAGGACAGCUGUCCUCUCCUCAGGGCU
rnacentral:lncRNA from 1 species